CUGGCAGGGAGGCGCGCGAGGGGUGCCUGCGGCGGCCGCGUGCUCCCGCGAGGGGGCGUGUCCUUCCGCGGCCAGCUGGGUCCCAGAGGGUCCAGAUCCACGCGCGGGCUGGAGAGCGCGCACGGCUGUGAAGAGGGAUGGAGAUGGAGCCUCAUGACAAAAAUGAAAGUGAACAUGAUGUGGGAAAUAUAAAGAAGAGAUCCCCAAGAUAAGGAUUCUGGAGCAGAAAGAGAAUGAAUGAGGGAGAGUCAGAGUGAGGGAGACACAGAAUCCGAAACAGGCUCCAGGCACUGAGCGGUCAGCACAGAGCCCGACGCGGGGCUCGAACUCACGGGCCGCGAGAUCAUGACCUGAGCCGAAGUCGGACACUCAACCGACUGAGCCACCCAGGCGCCCCUCAGGUGGGUUUUAAAUAUGGUGUUGAUGCAGAAAGAUUGGAAAAUGCUGCUAGAGGAUAUGUCAGAGAAACUAAAGGUGUAGGGAAUUUAAUCAGCAUGAAAUAAGGGUGAAUUAAUUCAAAGCUCAGAGGUAGGUUGGUUUAGAGCCAGACAUGAACAUGCUUUGAUAAAUGUGAACUUAAGAUUCAUAUUUUCAUAAAGUGAUAAAAUAUUAACCUUAAGGACUAUUUCCAAAUUUUAAAAAUAUUUCUCCUUUGUAAUCUCUUUCUUGAGACUCACUUUUCUCUACCUCUGCUGAGGCAGUAAGGUACCUCUGUCUGGGAAAGGUGAAGAUACAAGGCCUAGAGAAAAUUAAGCAUAAAAUAGGAAUAGCCUGAGUUCUAUAAUGUUUAUGCCAGAUCACAAACUAUUCUGUUUAUCUAAGAUUUGCAUUUGUCAGCUGCCUAAUCAUCUGCUCGACUGUUCUUCUCACAGGAUGCAUGACGAUCAAGUGUGCUCUUCAAUCCCCUUCAAGUUUUGGACCUGUUGUGUAAUUCCUACAGCACAUAAUCAAAGUGCUAUUUGAUCUAACUGGUUUGGGGUCUAUAUACAAUGAUCUCCUUGGAGGAGUCCCCAGAUGUUUUCCAGAUCAUUCGUUCCGUUGAUUCAGUACAAUUUAUUGGGUGUGUGUGUGCCAGGUACUAGUUAUGCAAUGAUGACUAAGAUAGUCCCUAUUCUCUGUCAGUUUCUUAUAAGUCUGUGAACUGACCACACAGAUGACCUGCAGAAGUCUGCUGCAGAUUCUCCUGCCCUAUUCCAGACCUCCUGAACCCAAAUCUCAGAGGCAAGGGAUUCUGCGCUUUGAAGAUGUUCCCUAGAGGAAGGAGAUUGAUUUUCACAAAGCCUGGAAGUGAGGUGUUGUCCAGUGGUGAUGUGUCCACUCGUUUCUCCAACAAAGAUCCUUUCAUUCAGGAGGCAUCUCCCUGGAGACGGAGGAAAUGGUAGGAGUCCCCUGGGGUGCUGUCAGCUCCACUUGCUGAACUUCUGGAGAAAGAGUGAAAUACUAGGUAAAGGAAAUGCCUCCAGCCUGCUCCUAGGGAGAGGCAGGACUGGGAGGAGUGGGGAGGUGAGAGGGACCCUUGACCUGAAUAAGUUGGAGACGUUUCCAAGUGUGGCUCCCUUCCCACUCUCAACCUCACAGCACUAGUGCCCCUGACAGGAAGGAAAACUGCCUUGUCCUGUGGCCCCUUUCAGUUCUAGUACAGCUAGAAGGAUGUUCCCCACAUUUGUGCUCUUACCUUCUUUACUUCUAGGCAAACCCCAAAGCCCCCAGCCUCAAAGAAGGGCCAUUCCUGGGGCAGUGCUGACAAGUCCAGGUUAGAGGGACUUGGGAAGUCUCAGAUCAGAGGCUGGCACUCUUAUCAACCACCCUACCCAACCCUUGUGUCCAUGCUCCUCCUUGAAGGCCUGUCUAUCAGAGGUUUAUUUCUGACCAGGGCCACUAGGACAGAGGAAGUUUGUGGGGUUGGACCACCACACCAUACAUCUGCACCAGCCUUCUUUGCUACUCUUUUCACUGCAAAUGUAAAAUAAUCCAUUGGCAGUAUCACUUCUGUGGUCCCACUUAUAUCAUUGUUUCUGGGACUGUGUUGAAAACAAAAUCCUGACAAACAAAUGUUUAGAACACAGACUCUUUGAAGAAUGGUGUCUUAUACCCAUUUACUACAACAAGCAUUUCUUAUGUAUCUUACACCAGUCUGGGAAAUGCUCUGUCUGUGCUUUCAUAAAUUGGGCCGUUGCUGCUGGUGCUCCAGGAUGGUUUUAGGUUGUACACUAACAGGGCAGCAAAUGCCAUUGACUUAUCAUGAAAAUAUUACCACCAUUCUAAUUAUCCUUCUGAUUAUACCAAAGACAAGGUCCUGGUUUGGAACUAGAUCUUUAACACUGUUCUAACACUUGCUUAUUGCUAUUAUUACUGUUUAAUAAGUAUAGGUCAAGAGCUUUGGGCUGGUUUAGGUGAUACAGAGGCUGAAUUCCAAACUGGUGGCUCUGUGACUGAAUCCAGCCUGCAGAUACGAUUUUUACUAUGCCAUAUUUAUAUUUAUAUAUAUUUUGGGCCAACAUUUAGAAACUCCAGAAAUUUUGCCUAAAACCCCAGAUUCCAAGCUUCUGUUAAAUAAUCAAAAUAUGCUCAAAUUCCUUCAUGGCAGAAUCUGACUCUAUUCUCUAAACAGGACACAUGCUCUGGGGCCCUGGGCGGCUCAGUUGAUUAAGCGUCUGACUUUGGCUCAGGUCAUGAUCUUGCACUGGUGAGUUUGAGCCCCGUGUCAGGCUCUGUGCUGAUAGCUCAGAGCGCAGAUCCUGCUUUGGAUUCUGUGACUCCCUGUCUCUCUGCCCCUCCCCUGCUCGCACUCUGUCUCUCUCGCUCUCAACAAUAAACGGACAUUAAAACAAUUUUUUUAAACAGGACAUGUGCUCUCCACUUUGCCACAGUCUCUACCACUCCUUAUCAUGUUAUACAGGACCCAUAUAUUAUUCACUUCCAUUGCCUUCCCAGCCCCUCUACGCAUUUGCAUCUUAGGUCUAUUUUAGGAAUUCUGUGGCUAAAAAGGUAGACCACAAUCAAGCUUGACUUUCAGGCUAAGGAAUUUGGUCUUCAUUCUAUAGGAAAUAGAGAGCCAUUAAUUUUUUAGUAGGGUAGCCAAGGCUUAAAGCAACUCUUUCGAAAAUGAUUCUGACUUUUAUUUGAAACUAAGGAUGAGGAGGGGAGAAUGGAGGCAGGGGGCUGGUGAAGGGGUAACCUUAAAUUUCAUUGUCUCAGGAAAUGGAAGCUGGGCCUAGGCUGUGAAAUGAGUGGGUCUGGCCUACAUGGCCUCCAGACAUGCAGUUAAGAACAGGAUCGGGAGCCUUGGGCAGUGCAAGGACAAGUAGGAAGCCAAACCUGGACUGAAAAUGCAUAGUCAUCAGUGAGGUGAAGCUAACUGGCCCAGAGCCUAGAGGGACUUUUUGAAGCAGAGACACAAGGCCCUUAAAUAAGGGCCUACAAGCAGGAAGGGAACCAUCAGAACUGGUUCUGGCCAGGCAGGCAAAGGUAAUACCAAGGUGGUGGUUGUGGGAAUGGAAAUAGCUGGAGAGAUGUAAAAGCCAUUUAGAAGGAAGAUCCAGUGAUACUGGUAGCUACUAGGAAAGGGAGUCUUAAGGAGGAAUAAAAAAAAUGAUUCUAAGACUCCUAACUUGGGAGCCAAAGAAGAUAGUGGUGAGGAGGAAGAAGACAUUUUUGAGUAUAUGAAAUAUGAGGUGCCAUCAGGAUGCCCAGUAGGCACUGGAAGGACUGACGUUUAGAGAGGUGUAGGCUGAAAGUAAUACUAGGGUAUCAUCUUGCACAAAGAUGAGAGAUGAAGAUAGAGAAAAGGAAGAGGGAGGGAGAGAAAGAGAGUAAAGAGUAAAUCUUAGGGCGAAUUUAAAUUUAGGAUGUCCAUGAAAGUAUCACAAAUGGUCUGAUAUGGAGGAAGAGAAACAUUUAGCUCCAUGCUGGUUAAGGGGCAAGGGGCAAGGCCAUAGUGUUGUCACAACCUUCAAAGACCACAGCAAAUGAGGACCAAGAAACAGAAGCAGAGCCAAAGUAGUAUUUUCUAGAAAGAGGAUCUCCACAUUCAUUCAUUCAACAAGUAUUUAUUGAGAACCUAGCUUUUAUCCAGGCCCUGAACAAACGGAGGUGGGCCAAACAGAGACCCUAUGCUGAUCGAACUUACAUCCUGCUGGAGAAGACAGACAUUACACAAAGACUGAUCGUGGUCAAUGUUACCAAGAGAAACAAAGCAGGAUCCCUGUGGAAUAGCUGUUGAUUUUAGAGGAGGGUGAAUUUGUCAAUGUUGAAAGAAGACCCACUUGGGAAGAAAACUUGAUUUUGUGUUUCCAGUGUAUGACAGGAAAAUGUUGACCUCUCCAGACCUCAAGGAUAUAUGUAAAACAGAGAGCUUUUUACCUCAUACUAUCUAGAGUCUUAAGAAUAACACCUCGAGGGGAGCUUGGGUUGUUCAGUUAAGCUCUUGGUUUUGGCUUAGGUCAUGAUCUCAUGUUUGUGAGAUCCAGCCCCACAUCGGGCUCUGCGUUAGUGCAGAGUCUGCUUGGGAUUCUCUCUCUUUCUCUCUCACUGUCCCUCCCCCCGCCGCCCCCACCAAAUAAAUAAAUAAACAGUAAAAAACAAAAGUAGCAGAAGAAUACCUUAAGACGCCUCCUGCUUAGCCUGACUCCAUGGUUUCCUGGACUCUGUGUACCAACAUGUGGUGGCCCCUGUGGCCUGUCCUGAGGGCCACCACUCAUUAUCUCCACACUAGGUAGCCUGGUCCAUCUGGCUCUCCAGUCUACACACUGGAACUACGUUAGCAUUCUUGAAGUCCUCAUCUGUGGCCUUUUCUCAGAAACCUUCAGGGGCCCUUAUUGCUGAGCAAAUUGAAGUAAGUGCUUCCUCUGAAUGGCCCAAAUCUGCGUCUGUGUCCUCUUGGUCUUCUACUCAUCCCAGGGCCGGGACAAAAUGGCACUGCUUGCCAUUCUCCAAACAUGCGCCACCUUUUCCUG